UAAGACGAACCGUGCGAACGUUAUUCGGAAUCACUGGGCUUAAAGGGCGCGUAGGCGGGCUGACAAGUCUGGGGUGAAAUCCCGCGGCUCAACCGUGGAACUGCCUCAGAUACUGUCGGCCUCGAGGAAGGUAGGGGCAUGCGGAACUGUAGGUGGAGCGGUGAAAUGCGUUGAUAUCUACAGGAACUCCGGUGGCGAAAGCGGCGUGCUGGACCUUUUCUGACGCUGAGGCGCGAAAGCUAGGGGAGCAAACGGG
rnacentral:rRNA from 1 species